rnacentral:rRNA from 1 species
GUGAGUAACGCGUAUGCAACCUGCCUUUAACCGGGGUAUAGCUCUCUGAAAGGGGAAUUAACACCGCAUGAGACCUCGCCCUCACCUGUGGGUGCGGUAAAAUAUUUAUAGGUUAAAGAUGGGCAUGCGUGACAUUAGCUAGUUGGUGAGGUAACGGCUCACCAAAGCUACGAUGUCUAGGGGUUCUGAGAGGAAGGUCCCCCACACUGGUACUGAGACACGGACCAGACUCCUACGGGAGGCAGCAGUGAGGAAUAUUGGUCAAUGGACGCAAGUCUGAACCAGCCAUGUCGCGUGCAGGACGACAGCCCUACGGGUCGUAAACUGCUUUUGUACGGGAAGAAAGUCAGCCACUAGUGGUUGUUUGCCGGUACCGUGCGAAUAAGGAUCGGCUAACUCCGUGCCAGCAGCCGCGGUAAUACGGAGGAUCCGAGCGUUAUCCGGAUUUAUUGGGUUUAAAGGGUGCGUAGGCGGGAUUAUAAGUCAGUGGUGAAAUACUGCAGCUCAACUGUAGGAUUGCCAUUGAUACUGUUUUUCCUGAGUACAGAUGAGGCAGGCGGAAUGUGGUGUGUAGCGGUGAAAUGCUUAGAUAUACCACAGAACACCGAUUGCGAAGGCAGCUUGCCAAGUUGUAACUGACGCUCAAGCACGAGAGCGUGGGUAUCAAACAGGAUUAGAUACCCU